rnacentral:sRNA from 1 species
AGAGGAAUAUUAGUCUUGAUUUUGGGGGAGGCUGGGCAAGUUGGGAGCACAGUGGCCCAGAUGUCCUGGCUUAGCUGAUGUCCCCCGUUUCCUGCCAGAGGACAUAUCAGUGGUGUUCAGCAGGGCCUCCUGGGAAGGUCGGGCUGACUUCUCCCAGGCCGACGUGCACCGCCAGAUUGCCAUUGUGUUCAAGACGCCGCCCUACGAAGACCUGGAGAUUGCUGAGCCCGUGACAGUCAACGUCUUCCUGCAGCGGCUCACCGAUGGGGUCUGCAGCGAGCCAUUGCCUUUCACGUACCUGCCUCGCGACCAUGACAGCUACGGCGUGGACAAGAAGCGGAAACGGGGGAUGCCCGACGUCCUUGGGGAGCUGAACAGCUCUGGUGUGUGCCCUCUGCCCCUUCCCACCCCCAUCCCCAGGUUCUGGGGAGGGGACAGCUGACCCCACUGCCCUGUCCCACCCCAGGCUGGGGAGGAAGGGCUGUCAGGGAACAGGGAUCCUCAUCUGUGCCUUCCCUCAGACCCCCAUGGCAUCGAGAGCAAACGGCGGAAGAAAAAGCCGGCCAUCCUGGACCACUUCCUGCCCAACCACGGCUCAGGCCCGUUCCUCCCGCCGUCAGCCCUGCUGCCAGACCCUGACUUCUUCUCUGGCACCGUGUCCCUGCCCGGCCUGGAGCCCCCUGGCGGGCCUGACCUCCUGGACGAUGGCUUUGCCUACGACCCUACGGUCCCCGCACUGUUCACCAUGCUGGACCUGCUGCCC